GGGCGCGUGGCGCAAUGGCAGCGCAGUUGACUUUUAAUCAAUUGGUUGCAGGUUCGAGUCCUGCCGCGCUCA
rnacentral:tRNA from 2 species